GGAAGGGACUGUGGCUCCAUGGUAAAGCAUCUGCUUGUCAUAUGCGGAGGGCCUCAGGUUCAAUCCCCAGCUUCUCCA
rnacentral:tRNA from 1 species